rnacentral:misc_RNA from 1 species
AGGAAAAUGUAGCAUUUUUAAACUGGAAGGGAAACUCGAAGUUUGAAUAAAUAAAAAUGUCAAGGAAAAUUCAGCUUCUGAACUCGAUGUUGGAACAAAGAUGUCAAGGAAAAUUCUGUUUCUAAACUCCAAUGAAAACUCUCGGUACAAGGAGACAAAGAGUCACUUGUCGUCAUGCAGUCGUCACGUAGUCGUCUUGUCUAAAACACACAGCCUUGUAGAAAAGUCAUUGAGAACAUGGCAAUUGUCAACAGCAGUAUUAAUCAGUUUACCGAUAAUGCAAUGGAGCAUCUUGGAAAAUUGUAUCAAACUUCUAUCUCCAACCACGGAAACAGUUUCAAAUAAACGAGUUGCUCUGGUGCGUUCAACCCUCUACAGUCGAUACGCGCCACCCCUUUAGAGUUGCGAUAUUAUCU